rnacentral:rRNA from 1 species
AGAGCGAACGCUGGCGGCAGGCCUAACACAUGCAAGUCGAACGGACUCUUCGGAGUUAGUGGCGGACGGGUGAGUAACACGUGGGAACGUGCCUUUAGGUUCGGAAUAGCUCCUGGAAAUGGGUGUAAUGCCGAAUGUGCCCUUCGGGGGAAAGAUUUAUCGCCUUUAGAGCGGCCCGCGUCUGAUUAGCUA